rnacentral:rRNA from 1 species
GUGUCAGCCGCCGCGGUAAGACAGAGGGGGCAAGCGUUGUCCGGAGUUACUGGGCGUAAAGCGCACGCAGGCGGCUUGGCAAGUGGGGUGUGAAAGCGGGCGGCUCAACCGCCCGAGGCCAUCUCAGACUGCCAGGCUCGAGCCGUUCAGAGGUCCCUCGAAUUGCCGGUGUAGUGGUGAAAUGCGUAGAGAUCGGCAGGAAGACCCACGGGGAAGCCAGGGGACUGGGAACGUGCUGACGCUCAGGUGCGAGAGCGUGGGGAGCGAACCGGAUUAGAAACCCGCGUAGUCC